rnacentral:rRNA from 1 species
UGGGGAAUUUUGGACAAUGGGCGAAAGCCUGAUCCAGCAAUGCCGCGUGUGUGAAGAAGGCCUUCGGGUUGUAAAGCACUUUUGUCCGGAAAGAAAUCCUUGGCUCUAAUACAGUCGGGGGAUGACGGUACCGGAAGAAUAAGCACCGGCUAACUACGUGCCAGCAGCCGCGGUAAUACGUAGGGUGCAAGCGUUAAUCGGAAUUACUGGGCGUAAAGCGUGCGCAGGCGGUUUGCUAAGACCGAUGUGAAAUCCCCGGGCUCAACCUGGGAACUGCAUUGGUGACUGGCAGGCUAGAGUAUGGCAGAGGGGGGUAGAAUUCCACGUGAGCAGUGAAAUGCGUAGAGAUGUGGAGGAAUACCGAUGGCGAAGGCAGCCCCCUGGGCCAAUACUGACGCUCAUGCACGAAAGCGUGGGGAGCAAACAGGAUUAGAUACCCUGGUAGUCCACGCCCUAAACGAUGUCAACUAGUUGUUGGGGAUUCAUUCCUUAGUAACGUAGCUAACGCGUGAAGUUGACCGCCUGGGGAGUACGGUCGCAAGAUUAAAACUCAAAUGAAUUGACGGGGU